AAAGUACUCCCUCCGUCCCAAAAUUCUUGUCUUAGAUUUGUCUAGAUACGGAUGUAUCAAGUCACAUUUUAGUAUUAGAUACAUCUGUAUCUAGAAAAAUCUAAGACAAGAAAUUUGGGACAGAGGGAGUAGUUG
rnacentral:pre_miRNA from 1 species